rnacentral:rRNA from 1 species
AGAGUUUGAUCAUGGCUCAGAGCGAACGCUGGCGGCAGGCUUAACACAUGCAAGUCGAGCGGGCGUAGCAAUACGUCAGCGGCAGACGGGUGAGUAACGCGUGGGAACGUACCUUUUGGUUCGGAACAACACAGGGAAACUUGUGCUAAUACCGGAUAAGCCCUUACGGGGAAAGAUUUAUCGCCGAAAGAUCGGCCCGCGUCUGAUUAGCUAGUUGGUGAGGUAACGGCUCACCAAGGCGACGAUCAGUAGCUGGUCUGAGAGGAUGAUCAGCCACAUUGGGACUGAGACACGGCCCAAACUCCUACGGGAGGCAGCAGUGGGGAAUAUUGGACAAUGGGCGCAAGCCUGAUCCAGCCAUGCCGCGUGAGUGAUGAAGGCCCUAGGGUUGUAAAGCUCUUUUGUGCGGGAAGAUAAUGACGGUACCGCAAGAAUAAGCCCCGGCUAACUUCGUGCCAGCAGCCGCGGUAAUACGAAGGGGGCUAGCGUUGCUCGGAAUCACUGGGCGUAAAGGGUGCGUAGGCGGGUCUUUAAGUCAGGGGUGAAAUCCUGGAGCUCAACUCCAGAACUGCCUUUGAUACUGAAGAUCUUGAGUUCGGGAGAGGUGAGUGGAACUGCGAGUGUAGAGGUGAAAUUCGUAGAUAUUCGCAAGAACACCAGUGGCGAAGGCGGCUCACUGGCCCGAUACUGACGCUGAUGCACGAAAGCGUGGGGAGCAAACAGGAUUAGAUACCCCCGUAGUCC